GUGCCUGUGGCGAAAUUGGCAUACGCAAGGGACUUAAAAUCCCUCGGAUUUAUCCGUACCAGUUCAAGUCUGGUCAGGCAUA
rnacentral:tRNA from 1 species